GAGACACGCUGGCGGCGUGGAUUAGGCAUGCAAGUCGAACGGUAUCAUCCUUUCGGGGGUGAGAGAGUGGCGAACUGGUGAGUAACACGUAGGUUAUCUACCCUCAAGACGGGGACAACCCAGGGAAACUUGGGCUAAUACCGGAUGUGAGCAACUUUUAGUUGUUUGAAAGGUGGCGUAAGCUGUCGCUUGGGGAUGAGCCUGCGUCCUAUUAGUUAGUUGGUGAGGUAACGGCUCACCUAGGCAAUGAUAGGUAGGCGGCCUUAACGGGUGGUCGCCCACACUGGGGAUUGAGAUACGGCCCAGACUCCUACGGGAGGCAGCAGUCGAGAAUAGUCUACAAUGGUCGGAAGACUGAUAGUGCGACGCCGCGUGAACGAUGAAUCCCUUCGGGGUGUAAAGUUCUUUUAUAUGUGAGCAGUGCUUCUUAUAUUUAACAGUAUGGGGAGAGAGAUAUUAGCAUAUGAAUAAGCAACGGCUAACUCCGUG
rnacentral:rRNA from 1 species